rnacentral:rRNA from 1 species
UGCAGUCGAGCGGAGAGUGGAGCUUGCUCCAUGAUUCAGCGGCGGACGGGUGAGUAAUGCCUAGGAAUCUGCCUGGUAGUGGGGGAUAACGUUUCGAAAGGAACGCUAAUACCGCAUACGUCCUACGGGAGAAAGUGGGGGAUCUUCGGACCUCACGCUAUCAGAUGAGCCUAGGUCGGAUUAGCUAGUUGGUGGGGUAAUGGCCCACCAAGGCGACGAUCCGUAACUGGUCUGAGAGGAUGAUCAGUCACACUGGAACUGAGACACGGUCCAGACUCCUACGGGAGGCAGCAGUGGGGAAUAUUGGACAAUGGGCGAAAGCCUGAUCCAGCCAUGCCGCGUGUGUGAAGAAGGUCUUCGGAUUGUAAAGCACUUUAAUUGGGAGGAAGGGCAGUAAGUUAAUACCUUGCUGUUUGACG